UACGAAGGGUGCAAGCGUUACUCGGAAUUACUGGGCGUAAAGCGUGCGUAGGUGGUUCGUUAAGUCUGAUGUGAAAGCCCUGGGCUCAACCUGGGAAUGGCAUUGGAAACUGGCGAUCUAGAGUGCGGUAGAGGGCAGUGGAAUUCCCGGUGUAGCAGUGAAAUACGUAGAGAUCGGGAGGAACAUCUGUGGCGAAGGCGACUGCCUGGACCAGCACUGACACUGAGGCACGAAAGCGUGGGGAGCAAACAGG
rnacentral:rRNA from 1 species